GAGUUCUUGUGGACAAAAAAAAAAUGUGUGGUGCUUCUUAUNNNNNNNNNNNNNNNNNNNNNNNNNGGUAAAAACCUCUAUAUCUGACUGGGUUAAUAACUCCUCAUAUCUGACUGGGUGAAUAACUCUCUAUAUCUGUGGGGUUACAAUAAACUCCUCUAUAUCUGACUGGGUUAAUAACUCCUCUAUAUCUGACUGGGUAAAUAACUCCUCUAUAUCUGACUGGGUGAUAACUCCUCUAUAUCUGACUGGGUAAAUAACUCCUCUAUAUUGACUGGGUUAAAAACUCCUCUAUAUCUGACUGGGUGAAUAAAACUCUUAUAUUCUGACUGGUGUAAUAACUCCUCUAUUCUGACUGGGUUAAUAACUCCUCUAUAUCUGACUGGGUGAUAACUCCUCUAUAUCUGACUGGGUAAUAACUCCUCUAUAUUGACGGGUGAUAUACUCCUCUAUAUCUGACUGGGGAUAAAUCCUCUGACUGGGUAAAUAACUCCUCUAAUCUGACUGGGUUAAUCAUCCUCUAUAUCUGACUGGGUUAAUAACUCCUCUAUAUCUGACUGGGUUAAUAACUCCUCUAUAUCUGACUGGGUUAAUAACUCCUCUGACUGGGUUAAUAACUCCUCUGACUGGGUUAAUAACUCCUCUGACUGGGUAUCAAUCAACUAACUCUAUAUCUGACUGGGUUAAUAUAAUCUCUGACUGGGUUAAACUCUCUAUAUCUGACUGGGUGAAUAACUCAUCUGACUGGGUUAAUAACUCCUCUAUAUCUGACUGGGUAAAUAACUCCUCUAUAUCUGACUGGUGAUAACUCCUCUAUAUCUGACUGGUAAAUAACUCCUCUAUAUCUGACUGGGUUAAUAACCCUCAUAUCUGACUGGGUUAAUAACUCCUCUAUCUGACUGGGUUAUAACUCCUCUAUAUCUGACCGGGUUAAUAACUCCUAUAUCUGACUGGGUAAACUCCCUUCUAUAUUCUGACUGGGUAAAUAACUCCUCUAUAUCUGACUGGGUGUAACUCCUUAUAUCUGACUGGGUAAUAACUCCUCUAUACUGACUGGGUUAUAACUCCUCU
rnacentral:lncRNA from 1 species